AUUGAACGCUGGCGGCAGGCCUAACACAUGCAAGUCGACCGAGUGGCGGACGGGUGAGUAAUGUCUGGGAACCUGCCUGAUGGCGGGGGAUAACUCCUGGAACCGGUAGCUAAUACCGCAUACCAUCGGAUGUGCCCAGAUGGGAUUAGCUAGUAGGUGGGGUAAAGGCUCCCCUAGGCCACGAUCCCUAGCUGGUCUGAGAGGAUGACCAGCACAACUGGGACUGAGACGCGGUCCAGACUCCUACGGGAGGCAGCAGUGGGGAAUAUGGCACAAUGGGCGCAAGCCUGAUGCAGCCAUGCCGCGUGUAUGAAGAAGGCCUUCGGGUUGUAAAGUACUUUCAGCUGGGAGGCGUUACCCGCAGAAGAAGCACCGGCUAAAUCCGUGCCAGCAGCCGCGGUAAUUC
rnacentral:rRNA from 1 species